CAGUAGCCGCGGUAAUACAGAGGAUGCAAGCGUUAUCCGGAAUGAUUGGGCGUAAAGCGUCUGUAGGUGGCUUUUCAAGUCUGCCGUCAAAUCCCAGGGCUCAACCGGGGAAGGGGCCCGGAUACGAUCGACCUGGAGGGGGGUAGGGGGGUCUGGAACUUCCGGUGGAGCGGUGAAAUGCGUUGAGAUCGGAAGGAACGCCCGUGGCGAAAGCGAGACCCUGGACCUCAUCUGACGCUGAGACGCGAAAGCCAGGGGAGCGAACGGGAUUAGAUACCCGAGUAGUCCCUGUCUCUUAUAC
rnacentral:rRNA from 1 species